GGAGUUUUGAUCCUGGCGUCAGGAUGAACGCUAGCUACAGGCUUAACACAUGCAAGUCGAGGGGAAACGACAUUGAAGCUUGCUUCGAUGGGCGUCGACCGGCGCACGGGUGAGUAACGCGUAUCCAACCUGCCUCUGACUAAGGGAUAACCCGGCGAAAGUCGGACUAAUACCUUAUGAGGUUUUCAGCAGACAUCUAAUGAAAACGAAAGAUUUAUCGGUCAGCGAUGGGGAUGCGUCUGAUUAGCUUGUUGGCGGGGUAACGGCCCACCAAGGCAACGAUCAGUAGGGGUUCUGAGAGGAAGGUCCCCCACAUUGGAACUGAGACACGGUCCAAACUCCUACGGGAGGCAGCAGUGAGGAAUAUUGGUCAACUGGGCGAGAGCCUGAACCAGCCAAGUAGCGUGCAGGAUGACGGCCCUAUGGGUUGUAAACUGCUUUUAUGUGGGGAUAAAGUGAGCUACGUGUAGUUUAUUGCAGGUACCACAUGAAUAAGGACCGGCUAAUUCCGUG
rnacentral:rRNA from 1 species